CAAUAGCGUAUAUUAAAGUUGUUGCAGUUAAAAAGCUCGUAGUUGGAUUUGUGGCGUACGGUGUGUUCCGGGCACUUGUUGCCUGAGUAACCUGCUGUUGCCAUCCUUGGGUGGAACCUGUGUGGCAUUAGGUUGUCGUGCAGGGGAUGCCCAUCAUUUACUGUGAAAAAAUUAGGGUGUUCAAAGCAGGCUUAUGCCGUUGAAUAUAUUAGCAUGGAAUAAUGAGAUAGGACUUUUUUGCUAUUUUGUUGGUUUGCGCAAAGAGGUAAUGAUUAAUAGGGACAGUUGGGGGUAUUCGUAUUCCAUUGUCAGAGGUGAAAUUCUUGGAUUUUUGGAAGACGAACUACUGCGAAAGCAUUUACCAAGGAUGUUUUCAUUAA
rnacentral:rRNA from 1 species